CACAUCCUGUCCCAGCCUGCUUCCCCGCCGGCGCCGGCGCCCUCCCCCUCCCCGCGCGAUCGAGGCGCGGGUCCCUCGCGCCACCCCCGCCCCCGCCCCUUCCCGAGCAAACUUUUGGCACCCACCGCAGCCGAGCGCGUUCGUGCUCCGCAGGGCGCGCCGCGCUCCGCCAAUGCCAGGCGCGCGGGGGAGCCAUUAGCAGGCAGGGGAGAGGAGGGCGCAGCCCGCGCCCAGCCCAGCCCUGCCCAGCCCUGCCCGGAGGCAGACGCGCCGGAACCGGGACGCGAUAAAUAUGCAGAGCGGAGGCUUCGCGCAGCAGAGCCCGCGCGCCGCCUGCUCCGGGUGCUGAAUCCGGCCGCCGCCGGGGACACGAGCCAGCGCCGCCACUGGAGCCCGCGGAGCCGGAGCCCGAGCGCGUCCGCGUCCACGCAGCCGCCGGCCGGCCAGCACCCAGGGCCCUGCGCGCCAGGUCGUUGGAGGUGGCAGCGAGACAUGCAACCGGCCCGGAAGCUCCUCAGCCUCCUCUUCCUCAUCCUGAUGGGCACUGAACUCACUCAAAAUAAAAGAGGAAACAAAGGAGAGAAGAUGGGAGGGCCAGAGAGCAAGAGAAAGACCACGAAAGAGAACACGCUGGAACAAGCACCCCUUGUUUUGCCUGGAAGCCCUUGCCGGCUCCCUGGCUCUGCCCAGGAGUGCAGUCCAAACCCCGACCCCACAGUGGUGUUCUGUCAUCCCACUCACCCUCAGAACCCCUGCUCUGUGCCGCCCAGACAGCCGGGCAGUCCCCGCUAAGGAGGUUCUGCAUGGCCUCUGGGAGAUAGGUUUUCUUGGCCCCAGGAAGGCCUGGCCGAGGAGUGGCGGCUGUGCCCCGUGGCCGGACAGAGGCACAACUGGAUCCGAUUUCUACUGGGCAACGAAGAGAACACGGAGCUGUGGCAGCCACGGAGCGCCUUCCCUUUUGCGCCGAAGCCCCCCACCCCGCUGGCGCUGGAGACCCCCGCGGGGCCCGGGGCUACUUUCGGAGCCGCCCAGAGCCCCCCUCUCGGCUGGGCGUCAGCGGGCGGCCCGGGGCAGGCUGGAGCCCCGCGGAAGACCUCCCUGCCAGCAGCCAGGGGGCGGCGGGGAGCCGGAGCGAGGAAAAAUCCACCCAUUUCCUGGGCUGAUUGCGUCGGCCGCCGCCCGGCCGUGUCCCCGCCUCCCGGCCGCGGCCCCCGCGCGCAGCCCGCGCAGCGCUCAGAGCCGGGGGCCUUCCGGCGCGGCGGCGGCGGCGGACGCGCGGAGCGGAGGACGCGGGCGCGGGCGCAGGCGGAGCGCGGGGCGUUGGGGACACGGCCGGCGGCGCCCACCUCCUUGGCGCCGGGGCGGCGCGCGCGAUGGCGGGGCGCGCGGGGCGGCGCGGCGCGGGCGGGCGCGGCGGGCGGAGGGGCGCGGGAACACAGCCGGGCGCCCCUGCCCGCCGCGGUGCCCGCCGCCUGA